UGUCACCUGAGUGCUACAUGUAGGCCAAGGGCCGUAGUAGAUGUAAGAUUAUGUCUAGCUAUAGCUAUGGCUCCAGUGCAGUGAUAGUAAGAUCAAGAAGUUAAACAAAAGCUGGUUGCAUCGGUCACGAUUGAUUUUCAUUAAAAGUAGCACCACCUAAGCCACACCGGAUAACGCAGUCACCCUCCUCCAUAUCAAGUUCACUGUCUGAAUCUUCACUGUCUGAAUCUUCAGUGUCACUGGGGACGUCAGUAGGGGGAGAUGAAGGGGGAGACGAGUCAGCCCGCUGACAAUAGUAUCCUGUGACUCUGAACCUACAAUUGAAGUUGUUUUUAUUUAUAAGUUUUGUUGGAUUUGGAUUUUUAUGUAUGUGAAGCCGUACCUGCUUUACUCUUUUUGAAGAAUGUUGAAAUUGGCACUUGACUUGGUCUCUUCCUGUUACUCAUUGUUGUAUAAUAAGUAAGUCUGGUUGAACACAAUCAAAGCUGCAUGACCACUAGCCUCGAAUCCAGGCCGAUUUUAGGGCUACAUGACCACUGGACACAUGGAUAUGGAUGUGGGUUUAUUCCCAUCUUGUAUCCAAUUAAUUACUGCUUACUAUGCAGUUUUUGCAACGCGAUCAGUUGAGAAAGAGUAAAGAAGCUGCCACUGCUUUUAGCUAAGUUCUGUUCCUUCUAGAGUGGACUACAUGCAGAUUGCUAAAAAUCAAUUUUAAUAUUUUGAGCAAAAGGGGGGUUCCUUUGCUCCCUUGGAUCUCCCCCUGGAUCCGCCUCUG